UUUUUCUACUGAUAGAGAUCACUCUUGAUGAUGGAUACAUCUUGUCUCCACAAGGACCAAGCUUGGCGAGUCCAAAUUCAUAGCCAUCAACAACAACAACAACCACCACUGGUAGCGACAUCAAUAAUAAUCACCGUAAUAGCAACAACAACAAGCAACAGCAGAAGUAAAGGCAACAACAACAGCAACAACUAUUAGCGACAUCAACAACUACUGGGUGAGGAGGCGACUGUUGUGAUGAUGGUUCUGUGGGGAAUUUGAGAAAUCUUGAGAGAGAGGAGUGACCUUAGUUAUUAAUAAAUGGGCAUUUUUAUCUUUUCAUCAAAAUAUAAAAUUGGUGUUAGUUCCGUAUGUAAAGUAUAAUUUCUCGAGGAAUAAAGAGAAAAUGUUACCGUGCUCGUGCACAAAAUGCAGGAUGAUUUUUCCUGCUCUAA